AGUGAACGCUGGCGGUAGGCCUAACACAUGCAAGUCGAACGGCAGCACAGUAAGAGCUUGCUCUUACGGGUGGCGAGUGGCGGACGGGUGAGGAAUACAUCGGAAUCUACUUUUUCGUGGGGGAUAACGUAGGGAAACUUACGCUAAUACCGCAUACGCCCUACGGGUGAAAGCAGGGGAUCUUCGGACCUUGCGCGGUUGAAUGAGCCGCUGUCGGAUUAGCUAGUUGGCGGGGUAAAGGCCCACCAAGGCGACGAUCCGUAGCUGGUCUGAGAGGAUGAUCAGCCACACUGGAACUGAGACACGGUCCAGACUCCUACGGGAGGCAGCAGUGGGGAAUAUUGGACAAUAGGCGCAAGCCUGAUCCAGCCAUACCGCGUGGGUGAAGAAGGCCUUCGGGUUGUAAAGCCCUUUUGUUGGGAAAGAAAAGCAGCAGGUUAAUACCCCGCUGUUCUGACGGUACCCAAAGAAUAAGCACCGGCUAACUUCGUG
rnacentral:rRNA from 1 species